AUCUGGUUGAUCCUGCCAGUAGUCAUAUGCUUGUCUCAAAGACUAAAGCCAUGCAUGUCUAAGUAUAAACAAUUAUACAGUGGAAACUGCAGACGGCUCGUGGAAAUCAGUUAUCGUUUAUUUGAUAGUUUCUACAUGGAUAACCGUGAUAACUUCAGAACUAAUACAUGACAGCCUUCUGGCGUAUAUAUUAGAUACAAACCAACAGUAUGGUGAUUCAUAAUAUCUUGUCGAACCGAUCUUCCGGUGUAUCAUUCAAAUUUCUGCCCUAUCAACUGUCGAUGGUAGGAUCGUGGCCUACCAUGGUAACAACGGGUAACGGGAAUCAGGGUUCUAUUCCGGAGAGGGAGCCUGAGAAACGGCUACCACAUCAAGGAAGGCAGCAGGCGCGCAAAUUGAAAUCCUGACAGGAGGUAGUGACAAUAUAUAACGAUCCGGGGCUCUUUGAGUUUCAGAUUGGAAUAAUUGCAAUUUAAACGCAUAACGAGGAACAAUUGGAGGGGGGCAAGUCUGGUGCCAGCAGCCGCGGUAAUUCGAAACUCCAAUAGCGUAUAUUAAUGUUGUUGCGGUUAAAAGCUCGUAGUUGAAAUUGGGCGGGCUAUUAGUUAGGCCGCUUCGGGAAGAACUUCUUCAAGUACUUUGAAAAAAUUAGAGUGUUCAACGCAGGUUUCGCCUGAAUAUAUUAGCAUGGAAUAACAUAGCACGACGAGGGUCCAUUUUGUUGGCUGCAAACCCACGUAAUGAUUAAUAGGGACAGUCGAGCGUCAGUAUUGUGUUGUCAGAGGUGAAAUUCUUGGAUUUGGACUAACUACUGCGAGGCAUUCGCCAGGAUGUGAUUCAUUAAUCAAGAACGAAAGUUAGGGGAUCAAAGAUGAUCAGAUACCGUCGUGGUCUUAACAACAAACUAUGCCGACGAGAAUGGGGUACCGCAUACGGUAUCCGCGCUCUACGAAAUCAAAGUGAUCAGGUUCUGGGAGUAUGGUCGCAAACGAAACUUAAGGAGUUGACGGAAGGGCACCAGGAGUGGAGCCUGCAACAGUGACUCAACACGGGAAACUCACCAGGUCCGAACACAAUAGGUUGACAGAUUGAUAGCUCUUUCUUGAUUUUGUGGGUGGUGGUGCAUGGCCGUUCUUAGUUGGUGGAGUGAUUUGUCUGCUUAAUUGCGAUAACGAACGAGACCUUGACCUACUAAAUAGCUCUGCUUGCGAUUGCAGGUGGCUAGCUUCUUAGAGGGACUAUCUAUUACAAGUAGAUGGAAGUUCGAGGCAAUAACAGGUCUGUGAUGCCCUUAAGGCGUUCUGGGCACACGCGCGCUACACUGACGGAGCCAGCAGGUCGACCAAGCCGAGAGGAGCUAGGUAAUCUUAAUGAGAAACUCCGUCGUGCUGGGGAUAGAAACAUUGAGUGUGCUCUUCAACGAGGAAUUCUAGUAAGCGCAAGUCAUCAGCUUGCGUUGAUUACGUCCCAGCACACCGCCCGUCGCUACUACCGAUUGAAUGGUUUAGUGAGACCUUGGGAGGGCGAGAUGAGAGGGUAACCUUUUGAACAUCAAACUUGGUCAAACUUGAUUAUUUAGAGGAAGUAAAGUCGUAACAAGGUUUCCGUAGGUGGAGCCUGGAAGGAUCAUUA
rnacentral:rRNA from 1 species